rnacentral:lncRNA from 1 species
CUUAGGCCUUGGAUGUGAGCAGUCUUCACUGAGGGCUGGGGGAAGAAAAGGAGUAGCUAUUUGUGGUAUUGAUGUCCAGUCAUUGCUGUUAAGGGAUACUCUUUAUGUCAAUAUGACAGUCCUACAAAUCCUGUCUAGCCAACAGUAGAAAGACCUGGUGGUGCUUUGGCACUGUAGUGACACAGCUAUUCUUGGCUAUAUAUAUGUGUAUAUAUUGCAUGUAGAUGUAGAUGUGCAAGAGCAUAACGUGCUUUUACACACACACACACACACACACACACAUUUGUCUAUUUGCAUCUUGCCCAAUAUGGAAUUCUGUGGUACUGCCAUGCAGGCAUUUUUUAUUUUUAUUUUUUAAUUAAUGUCUUUUUUUACAAAACAGUUUUAUUUUUAUGCAUUACAUUAUUUUGUGGCUGAUAAAUGGCUCAUCUAAUAUUCUACAAACAAAUGGAUUCUGGCUAUUAAGACUCAGUGUUUUGGUUUUCAUUUUUCCUGUAAUGUAAGUGUUAUAUUGAAAUAAAGUAUAUUAUCUGGAAUAAUUUUUUUUUGUAAGCAAAGAGGUAGGGUAUACCAUCUCAGCUAUUUUGCUUCUUGUUAUCAUAGUCUUGAAUGAUGCUGUGAGUCAGAGAUUUCAGCAGAAACUUGUCCACAUAGUAGAGCAUUUGAACCAGAUAAGAAAUUUCUGCCAUGAAUUUAGCCUUUAAGAAGCUGCACCUUUUGAGGUUUAUCAAAGUCUUGCCUUAGAUGUUUUGAAAUAGGGAUAGCAGUGCAGUUUUGGCAAGUGUUUGGGUUACAGAGCUGCUUAGAGAGAGAUCCCCUUGUGCAGGUCAACGAGCUAAUAGUCACUUAGUUACAGAAUUUCUGUCCAGAAUGUGAUCCGUCUCUUAUGUUUUUCAGGGAUAUCCAUAACUUUGAGUUCUGCUUUAUGAAGGAGGGAAGGGGCCUAACAACUCUUCUGAAAGGGUGUUGGUUCUGCUUGAGGCUGCUGUCCUACUUUGUCAAUACUUUUCUAGUCUUUGCGGGUGAUGUCACAGCAUCUUUGACAUUCAGACCCCAGUAAUCCACUAGGUGUGUAUCUUGCUUGUUUUUCGCUGCAUGCUUUCUGAUACAGCAUGGGGGAUAACAGUCAUUUUGUGCUGCUCAUCUUUUGUACUUCAGGGUGAAAUAUAAUUAGCAUGUGCUAUGCUUCGUUUCCACAGAUUAUUUUACUCCCACCUUUGCUUUUCUUCUGACGGCUUUCCUCCCUGUAGAAGCACAAAGCCACUGUUCCCAUGCAUGCUCACAGGCUUUCAUUUUGCUCCUACAGCUGCCAGUUUGCUGUAUGUACAAGCUUCUUGUUGCUCAUCAUAGUACCAUCUCUAGUUAGCAGGACCUAGUAGACUUGAAUUGGGCUGGGAGAGAGCAAGAGCUGUGCUCACUAUUCAGACUAUGGGACCUGAGAAAUUUAUUGUGUGCCUUGAGAGAAACUUCCCUUCCCUCUGAAAGAAGGCUCUGCGAUGUUCUGUGGCUGACUGGUGGACACUGCUCAUCUCUUCAAAUCCAGCUCACUCAAGAACCUGAUUGUCUUACAAAGGCAGAAUGCUUUGAGAAGUGCAGCGGAUCUGGAGGUUCUCUAAAACUCAGUCUCCUUAAUCACAAGGGCUUUCUGACAGCUCUUGACCAUCAGCUACAUCCUAUAUUAGCAAAAUUAGUGUGCUGAGCUACUCGCUUUUUUGCAGAGGACCAAGUAACCCUAAUGUUUCUAAGAGCCUUCAAACCUGGUCAUGAGUUUGGGUAUUAGCUGUGCAUAGGCCCCCAUUUUGGCCUCUUUGCACAGGGGUGGUGUUCAUCCCUACUGAGCACUAAAGCCCUGUUGACCUACAGGAGGCCAUUUGAUGCAUUAGUUCUUUAUAUGAAUGGUCAGAAAAAAUAGAUCAUCUUACUUUGCUCUCAGUCUAAUGCAACACAAUAUAUUUAGAGUCACAUAGGCAGAAGGGAGAAGAUUUGCUGCUGUCAGCAUAGCCUUUGACACCAUGUAGACAAGUGUUUGCUGUGUUUAGAAGUGCAGCCUAAGGAAUAAU